rnacentral:lncRNA from 1 species
AUGAGCAUGUGCAAGUAGUUGCAAACAGGCAAAUCGUCUCCAUAAUAGUUCAUAGUAGUUUCGAAAGCAAUGACAUAAAUUGUUCUGAAAAUGAUCUCUUCAAUAUGUUCAAAAUUCUGUCCGCCAAAACCUGAUCCUGAUAUAGUUGUUACUCACUUGAAUUUCCAUUUUAGCUGCAUUUAACAGUAACAAGCACAACACUUGAAUUUCCAUUUUAGCUGCAUUUAACAGUAACAAGCACAACACUUGAAUUUCCAUUUUAGCUGCAUUUAACAGUAACAAGCACAACAAUUCCAGUUUAUUGAUAUUGCGUGAAUAUGUAUUUAUGUCAAAGGGAUAAGUUGCUAUUCUCCCAUUCAGAUUCGAUUUAGGGGAGGGAGG